UACGUAGGGGGCAAGCGUUGUCCGGAUUUAUUGGGCGUAAAGAGCGUGUAGGCGGCCAUUCAGGUCAGCUGUGAAAACUCGAGGCUCAACCUCGAGACGUCGGUUGAAACCGUUUGGCUAGAGUCCGGAAGAGGAGAGUGGAAUUCCCGGUGUAGCGGUGAAAUGCGCAGAUAUCGGGAAGAACACCAAAGGCGAAAGCGCUCUGCUGGGCCGAAACUGACACUGAGAGACGAAAGCUAGGGGAGCGAAUGGG
rnacentral:rRNA from 1 species